rnacentral:rRNA from 1 species
UACGUAGGGGGCUAGCGUUGUCCGGAAUCAUUGGGCGUAAAGAGCGCGUAGGCGGCCAGAUAAGUCCGGUGUGAAAGUCACAGGCUCAACCUGUGAAUGCCGCUGGAAACUGUCUGGCUAGAGUCCGGGAGGGGCGAGUGGAAUUCCUGGUGUAGCGGUGAAAUGCGCAGAUAUCAGGAGGAACACCAAUGGCGAAGGCAGCUCGCUGGAACGGUACUGACGCUGAGGUGCGAAAGCGUGGGGAGCGAACAGG